rnacentral:rRNA from 1 species
UGGGGAAUAUUGGACAAUGGGCGCAAGCCUGAUCCAGCAAUACCGCGUGUGUGAAGAAGGCCUUCGGGUUGUAAAGCACUUUUAUGUAGGAAGAAGGAUUAAUGGUUAAUAGCCAUUGAUAUUGACGGUACUACAAGAAUAAGCACCGGCUAACUCCGUGCCAGCAGCCGCGGUAAUACGGAGGGUGCGAGCGUUAAUCGGAAUUACUGGGCGUAAAGGGUACGUAGGCGGCUUGAUAAGUCAGAUGUGAAAUCCCCGGGCUUAACCUGGGAACUGCAUUUGAAACUGUCUGGCUAGAGUGAGUGAGAGGUUAGUGGAAUUCAAGGCGUAGCGGUGAAAUGCGUAGAGGU